CAGGACUGCACUGUUUAUGUCCUUUUUCCAUGCUUACUGCAGCAGGAGUUAGACGUUAGGUUAGCUCUCUGUGAGACAAGGGAAACCGGAUCCCGACCUGGGAUAUUCCAGCGUUUUGUGUCUGAAACUCUUAUUUGUUGUAAUAGCCCGGACCGUGUGAGGUGUGUCGGUGUGAAGGAGGAGCUGUGUUCGCCCGCUCUGUGACGAUCUCUAAAGCCAGGAGUGACCGUGGCUGUGUGGACUACCGACUGGAAUUCUCGAUUCUCCAGCAGGACUUGGAUUGCGUGCCGUCUACAUCAGUAAGAUCGUUCCAUCAUUUGUGACUGGAAGGACCACUCUAAAAGUGACGUUAGGACUGAGCUAAAGUUGUGCACAACUAAACUAAACAAGACUAAGGGGUUAAAGCUGCAGCAAAACAUUUAUUCUGGCCAGAGUUUAUUUUAUUAUUUUUUUUUGUUAAAGGGGAAAUUGAAAUGGUAUGUGUUUUGAACAAUGCAAUAAUAAUUUUGGUUACAACAAAAGUA